CUGAAGAUCAUGCACAUAGAGGAGGGGACGGAUAAUGGGGCCAAUCCUAUGUUUCUUAUGGAGUUGAUGGAGAUAACGAAGCACUGGAUGAGGCACAGAGCAAAGAAGAAACAGACAAGAUAGGUGCCUCUAUGAAAGAGAAAUUGAAAGACUUGACUGAACAAAUAGAUGCAUCGCUGCACAAAGGAGAGCUUCAAGCUGCCAAAGCACUUCUCGCACAAAUGAAAUACUUUGCGAGCAUUGAAGACAAGGUGAAGGAAAAACUUUCAGAGCUAAUGUAAACUUUGUUGACUUUGUUUUGAUACGUCUUGGGUCUUUUUAAAGCUGUUUUGAAUGUCUUCAAUACUUAUAAUAAUACAAUUAGUAUUUAUUUAUUAUGUACAGUAUUUGUUAAAGUUUCAGGUAUAAUAAUACAUGUCAAAUAUUAAUAGGUUACACGUUGACAUCAUUUUUGUGUGAUGGAUCAAUUCAAAAGUCAAUUAUUGAGUAUGUUAUAUUUAUUUAUAUUAUAUGAAAAGCUUUUAACUCAACUAUCUCCUGCGCAAUAGAUGUGUCCGUAAAGAAUACAGUAACAACAUUGGAGGGUUAAGCUGGUGUAGUAAAAGACAUGCUCCGGUACUUGGUGACUAAGAAAGUAUUUUUAAACCUCCCACUUUGGGAAGCGACUGUUUUCUUAAAGCUGUGCCGUGCCUUUUUCCCUAUAUUUCUCCCCACGUGGGCCAGCCCCUAGCAAUUAGAAUUUUAGCCAAUGAGCUUCAGCCCCUCGCAUUUGAGUGACAGCUAGCAAUGAGGUUGCAGGGUGGGCCCAAUGGCUCAGUGGACACCUCAGAGAGGGAGGGAGCAAGAGAGAGAGCAAUGAUGUGGGACCACUUUUGGAUUGUGAGUGCUACUUUCAGAACUACUGACUAAAAAGUAUCAGAGAAUCUCUUUAAAUUAAAUGCAUCAUUUACUAUGACAAAGAGACAUGUAAUUGUCAGUUAUUUAAAUACUGCACAGUCACAAAGUUUAGAUAUGAUUAUCUUGCCUAUCAGUAUAGCAUUUGUUAUUAUGGCCUGUUGUUGAGUCACACGGGGUGAUGCGAGUUGAGAAUAUACCCCUUGUAACCUGUAGCAGGAGACAUACUUCCUUGAAAAUACUGGAGGAAAAAUAGCAGCACAUACCUUUCUCUGCCUGAACCAAAAGGAUGCCCUUCACAUAAUUAGAAAGAU